AUUCCAGCUCCAAUAGCGUAUAUUAAUGUUGUUGCAGUUAAAAAGCUCGUAGUUGGAUUUCUGAUGGGAUCGACCCGGUCGGCUCCGAAAGGGGUCGCACUGGUGGUCUGUCCGGUCAUCCUCGAGGGGAGGCUUUCUGGCAUUCAUUUGUUGGGGAGUCGACGCUCGUCGUUUACUGUGAACAAAUUAGAGUGUUCAAAGCAGGCUUAGGCCGUUGAAUACAUUAGCAUGGAAUAAUGAGAUAGGACUUUGGUGGUCUAUUUUGUUGGUUUGCACGCCGAAGUAAUGAUUAAUAGGGGCGGUUGGGGGUAUUCGUAUUCAAUCGUCAGAGGUGAAAUUCUUGGAUUUAUGGAAGACGAACUACUGCGAAAGCAUUUACCAAGGAUGUUUUCAUUA
rnacentral:rRNA from 1 species